CGAAGACCAGCUUCCCCUGCAAAGGGCAAAUGUCACGUUUGGCUCCGGGUACCCCAGACCAUAGGCAUGCCGUAGAAGAACUUCCUUCUCAUCUGCUAUGCCCUAAUUGAUGUCAUAAGGAGUAAUAACUAAUUAAAUGGGCACCGAAGAAUGAAAUGUUCAAUGGCCAAAGCAUUUAGAAUGAUCCCUCCCACGUUCACCGCAGCCUGACCAGAAAACAAAGGGGUUAUUUUCAGGCAAGCUUUGAACGUCGUCAAUGGAAGAAUCGACAGAUGCCCUUCUCCCUCUUGACGAUGAUUUGUAGGAGUAGUGUUGCCUGUGACGUCUAUGUCGAGUGAGUGACGACGGUUGGUUUUUCCUCUCUUGGUUUAACUCCAGCUUCAACUUAUCUACUUGUCUCUCUAGGCUUACUAUGUCUUUCUCCACUAUAGAAAGCUCUCUGAGAAGCAUCUGAACCUGUCUCAUAAGGGAAUAGAAAGCAAUUUGAAACUAAAAACAACCACCACCCGAGUGAGAAUUAUGGGAGGAAGCCUGUUUUUUGUAUUUACCUUGGAAGGAAUGAAUUUGUGAACAAGGCAUGAACAGGGAAGAACAGGAGGAGGGUCUUUCUGCAGUGCACAUGUCAAAAGAUUGCUGAGUUUUAAUUCUGCAUCUAAUUCGUCCUGCAAUUUACCCACCUGUAGUAUAGAGUAGGUAUUGAUAUCGAUCGAUGAUCAAAUUAUUAUGUAGAUAGAUUAGAUUAGAUUAGAUUAGGAGUCUGCCUCUUGUUGAAGCUCGAGCCUUUUCUGCUGCUUCGGGUGAUCACAUGGCUUCUGCAACAAGAAAUCCUCGAAUUUCAUAAUUAUAUCUGUUCGUCCAAACUGUUAGCAAACAAUAGACAUAAUGAAUAAUGAUAUAUAUGAUUAGGAGGGGAGGGGAUGGAGAAAGAGGAUUAAGUAGUGAUUAAUUGUAAUUUUGGCAGGUACCAUUGAACCUGAAGGUGGUUAAGAUUAAGUAGCAGUUGACUUGUGGUAUGAUUAAAGCAUAUAUUAUGAGAUAUGAUGGGUGGGGUUAGAUUAAAUUAUGAAGAAGAGUAGAUAUUGCUGUUGUUGAGUUCUUGCAUCAUCUAUCAUCUGUAUAUAAUAAUAGUAAUAUUAUAACCUGAAAGUUGAAUUUGGAGAAGAAGGAAGACUGUGUCUAUUAUGUAUGUAUAUAUAUGAGGAAAGGGUAAAGGAAAGAGACAGAGAGACAGUCUGUAAGGAGGUGAAAUACGUGACUCCCAUGAACAGCCUCUCUCUUCUUUAACUACUAACUAACUAUGGCUACUACUUUCUGGCUUCUUCUUCCACAACUGUACAGAGGCAAAGGCAAAUUCAGUAGUUUUAAUUUGGUGGCGGUGGGGUGGGGAUUGAUUAGGUUUUCAAUUAAAUGUCAUUCAUGGUCAAUGAUUUCUCAAAAGUCCAAAAUUACUUCUUUUUUUUUGAGAAAUGUUAAUUAGAGUAAUUCAAAUGGUCAGACCAGUGGUGUAGGAUCUAAAGUAUCUAGAGGAUCAAAGUUCAUUAUGUAAAUCUAAAGUGUCAAAAUAGUCAAGGUUCAUGUAAAUCUAAAGUGUUUGAAUUAUGUUAAUCUGAAAGUGUUCUUUGUGU